rnacentral:lncRNA from 1 species
CUCAGUCGAUAUAUAGUUGAUAAUUGCUUUCAGGAUUGUCUGUUCGUUUGAUGGGUCAGAGUCGGACGUCGAUCGGUAUGCAUCGGAGAUCGAUUGAUUUAUAAAAGUUGAUCAGCUUAUUCUAAGAAUAAAUAAUAUGCAGUAAAAGGACUCAGACAGAGUUCUGUAACAAGAAUGAUCAACCAAAGGAAAUGGACCCCCUGAAUACAGAAAAACGCUCC